GCUUGUUUCUUUUUCUCUCUUUCCUUUUUCUUUUUUUUUUUCUUUUUUUCUUUCCUUUCCUUUAUCUCAACCUCUCCCUCUCUCUCACAACAACAAGAAGUGUGUGUAUAUCUUCAAAUCUUGCAUGUAUGUAUGUGUAUGUGUAUGUAUGCAAAGCAAAAUGUGUUGUGCUGUGUGUGAAAAACACACAAAAAGGCAAAAGGGAAGAAUUCAACGCGAAAAGGAAAGAUCAGAUCCCUUCCUCUCCUUCACAAGAGCCAUCCCAUCCUUCCCUCCCUCUCUCUGUUUCUUUCUUUCCUUCCUCCUUGCUUUCUUUCUUUCCUCUAUAUUUCCUAUCCCUGUCAAAAGAAAAGAAAUAAAAAAAUCCUAAUAAGAAAGAGAAAAGUGACCCAUUUUUGUAAUUAAUGUGACCCAACUCAAAAACUGACCAAAUUAUUAUAUUACUUAGGUGGGAUUUACAGAAAAAUUAGUUAAAAGAUUAACUUUUUUGUUUUAUAUUUGUGGGUAUGUGUGUAGAGAAAGAGAGAGAAUUUCUGGAGAAUAGGAAGAAGUUGUAAUAAAGGACUAAGGAGUGAGUAAUUGUAUUAUUAUCAAUCUUAUUUUUAUUAUUAUUAUUAUU
rnacentral:lncRNA from 1 species